rnacentral:rRNA from 1 species
UCGAACGGAAAGGCCCCUUCGGGGGUACUCGAGUGGCGAACGGGUGAGUAACACGUGGGUAAUCUGCCCUGCACUUCGGGAUAAGCCUGGGAAACUGGGUCUAAUACCGGAUAGGACCACUUGGCGCAUGCCUUGUGGUGGAAAGCUUUUGCGGUGUGGGAUGGGCCCGCGGCCUAUCAGCUUGUUGGUGGGGUGACGGCCUACCAAGGCGACGACGGGUAGCCGGCCUGAGAGGGUGUCCGGCCACACUGGGACUGAGAUACGGCCCAGACUCCUACGGGAGGCAGCAGUGGGGAAUAUUGCACAAUGGGCGCAAGCCUGAUGCAGCGACGCCGCGUGGGGGAUGACGGCCUUCGGGUUGUAAACCUCUUUCAGCAGGGACGAAGCGCAAGUGACGGUACCUGCAGAAGAAGCACCGGCCAACUACGUGCCAGCAGCCGCGGUAAUACGUAGGGUGCGAGCGUUGUCCGGAAUUACUGGGCGUAAAGAGCUCGUAGGUGGUUUGUCGCGUUGUUCGUGAAAACCGGGGGCUUAACCCUCGGCGUGCGGGCGAUACGGGCAGACUGGAGUACUGCAGGGGAGACUGGAAUUCCUGGUGUAGCGGUGGAAUGCGCAGAUAUCAGGAGGAACACCGGUGGCGAAGGCGGGUCUCUGGGCAGUAACUGACGCUGAGGAGCGAAAGCGUGGGGAGCGAACAGGAUUAGAUACCCUGGUAGUCCACGCCGUAAACGGUGGGUACUAGGUGUGGGUUUCCUUCCUUGGAAUCCGUGCCGUAGCUAACGCAUUAAGUACCCCGCCUGGGGAGUACGGCCGCAAGGCUAAAACUCAAAGGAAUUGACGGGGGCCCGCACAAGCGGCGGAGCAUGUGGAUUAAUUCGAUGCAACGCGAAGAACCUUACCUGGGUUUGACAUGCACAGGACGCCGGCAGAGAUGUCGGUUCCCUUGUGGCCUGUGUGCAGGUGGUGCAUGGCUGUCGUCAGCUCGUGUCGUGAGAUGUUGGGUUAAGUCCCGCAACGAGCGCAACCCUUGUCUCAUGUUGCCAGCGGGUAAUGCCGGGGACUCGUGAGAGACUGCCGGGGUCAACUCGGAGGAAGGUGGGGAUGACGUCAAGUCAUCAUGCCCCUUAUGUCCAGGGCUUCACACAUGCUACAAUGGCCGGUACAAAGGGCUGCGAUGCCGCAAGGUUAAGCGAAUCCUUUUAAAGCCGGUCUCAGUUCGGAUCGGGGUCUGCAACUCGACCCCGUGAAGUCGGAGUCGCUAGUAAUCGCAGAUCAGCAACGCUGCGGUGAAUACGUUCCCGGG